rnacentral:tRNA from 1 species
UCGCAGGGUAGAGCAGUUGGCAGCUCGUCGGGCUCAUAACCCGGAAGUCAGAGGUUCAAGUCCUCUCCCUGCUAUAUU